rnacentral:rRNA from 1 species
GUGGGGAAUAUUGGACAAUGGGCGAAAGCCUGAUCCAGCCAUGCCGCGUGUGUGAAGAAGGUCUUCGGAUUGUAAAGCACUUUAAGUUGGGAGGAAGGGCAGUAAGUUAAUACCUUGCUGUUUUGACGUUACCAACAGAAUAAGCACCGGCUAACUUCGUGCCAGCAGCCGCGGUAAUACGAAGGGUGCAAGCGUUAAUCGGAAUUACUGGGCGUAAAGCGCGCGUAGGUGGUUUGGUAAGAUGGAUGUGAAAUCCCCGGGCUCAACCUGGGAAUUGCAUCCAUAACUGCCUGACUAGAGUACGGUAGAGGGUGGUGGAAUUUCCUGUGUAGCGGUGAAAUGCGUAGAUAUAGGAAGGAACACCAGUGGCGAAGGUGACCACCUGGACUGAUACUGACACUGAGGUGCGAAAGCGUGGGGAGCAAACAGGAUUAGAUACCCGGGUAGUCC